GAAGUCCAACAUUUUACUCUCUACAGCUAAUCAUAACUUGGUAUAUAUAUGUGAAGGAAUUAACACAUGAUUUUAAAAAAAAAUGGUGGAGAUAAUAUCAAAUAUCUUUAUGCAUUUAACACUAAGGGCAUGGAGGAGGGUCAAAAGUUUUUAUAGCUUUGUGAUUAAAUCAGCACAGGGUAAAAGAAAAUAUAGGACAACAUCAACCCAACCCCUAACAAGCAUGAAAUUUUCCAAUUUAAAUACAAUAGCUUGCUGGAACAUUAUAGAAGAAGAAUAUACUCAAUCAACACAUGUUGGAGACACGGACAUACUUAUCUCGAAUGUGAAGAUCAUAUCAACGUUAACUAACAACGUACAAUCGUUUUUUUUUNNN
rnacentral:lncRNA from 1 species